CGGCUCAGUAACACGUGGACAACCUACCCUAUGGAGGGGGAUAACCCCGGGAAACUGGGGAUAAUACCCCAUAGACUAUAGAUGCUGGAAUGCUUUGUAGUUGAAAGGUCCGCCGCCAUAGGAUGGGUCUGCGGCCGAUUAGGUUGUUGUUGGGGUAACGGCCCAACAAGCCUGUAAUCGGUACGGGUUGUGGGAGCAAGAGCCCGGAGAUGGAUUCUGAGACACGAAUCCAGGCCCUACGGGGCGCAGCAGGCGCGAAAACUUUACAAUGCGGGAAACCGUGAUAAGGGAACUCCGAGUGCCCGUAAAAUCGGGCUGUCCAUCUGUUUAAAUAACAGGUGAAGAAAGGGCCGGGCAAGACCGGUGCCAGCCGCCGCGGUAAUACCGGCGGCUCGAGUGGUGGCCACUAUUACUGGGCUUAAAGCGUUCGUAGCUGGUCUGUUAAGUCUCUGGGGAAAUCUACUGGCUUAACCAAUAGGCGUCUCAGGGAUACUGGCAGACUAGGGACCGGGAGAGGUGAGAGGUACUCCAGGGGUAGGAGUGAAAUCCUGUAAUCCUUGGGGGACCACCUGUGGCGA
rnacentral:rRNA from 1 species